rnacentral:rRNA from 1 species
AGCUCCAAUAGCGUAUAUUAAAGUUGUUGCAGUUAAAAAGCUCGUAGUUGGAUUUCUGGCAGGAGCGGCCGGCCACGCGCUCUGCGCGUGAGUUUGCGCUGUCUCUGGCCAUCCUCGGGGAGAUCGCGUUUGGCAUUGAGUUGUCGGGCGUGGGAUACCCGUCGUUUACUGUGAAAAAAUUAGAGUGUUUAAAGCAGGCUUAUGCCGUUGAAUAUAUUAGCAUGGAAUAAUAAGAUAGGACUUCGGAACUAUUUUGUUGGUUUGCGUUACGAAGUAAUGAUUAAUAGGGACAGUUGGGGGUAUUCGUAUUUCGUUGUCAGAGGUGAAAUUCUUGGAUUUCCGAAAGACGAACUACUGCGAAAGCAUUUACCAAGGAUGUUUUCAUUAAUCAAGAACGAAA